GAGGCGUUAGUUUAUUUAAAAGAACGGGCGGCUGUUAACCAUCUGGUGUGUAGCAACACACGCCUCG
rnacentral:tRNA from 1 species